UGAUGGCAAAGUUGUUUCCUACUAAAUAUGUGUAGACUAGCAAUGCCAUCGUAUUCCCAAGCCCCUAUAGUGUAAUUUAGACGAAACAGUCAUUAGCCCCGGUUUAAAGUCAUUAGCCAGCCCCGUUCUACUUUUGAGGAUCAAUAUGGCUGCGGCGUCUGUAGAACGUUCAUAACAAUGGCAACGACGUGACGGAGAAUUUGGCAGUACGUCCAACCAGCCUCACAACCACAGACCACGUGUAACCACGCUAGCCCAGGACCUCCACAUCCGGCUUCGUCACCUGGGUGAUUGUCUGAGACCAGCCACCUGGACAGCUGAUGAAACUGUGGGUUUGCACAAAUCUCGGCACAAACUGUACCGGGAUGAUGGCAGACAGCGUGUUUGGCAUUGUGUGGACUUGCUGCGCUGUGCCAUCCCCACGGCUUCCACAAAGGAUCAGUCCACUCAGACAGGCGCAAAUCAGACAGGUGUCUUCUUUUUUUUUUGCUACUGCUCGACUAAAAGAAGUCUCAGUCGACCAACAGCCUAUCGACUGUUUCAAACAAUCAACCAAUCGACUAUAUGGGGUCAGCACUACAACGAACACAAUUGGAUUUUAUCGAUGGCAAUUUGAAUGCAUAGAGAUACCAUGAUGAGAUCAUGAGGCCCAUUGUCAUGCCAUUCCUCCGCCACCAUCACUGCAUGUUUCAGCAUGAUAAUGCACAGCCCCAUGUUGCAAUGAUCUGUACACAAUUCCUGGAAGAUGAAAAUGGCCCAGUUCUUCCACGGCCUGAAAACUCAUUGAGCAUGUUUGGGAUGCUCUGGGUCGGUGUAUGACAGCGUUUUCCAGUUUCCGUCAAUAUCCGCCAACUCCGCACAGCCAUUGAAGAGGUCUGGGACAAUAUUCCACAGGCCACAAUCAACAGGUUGAUCAACACUACGCAAAGGAUAUGUGUCGCGCUGCAUGAGGCAAAUCGUGGAUACACCAGAUAAGGGCUGGUUUUCUGAUCCACGCCACUACUUUCUUUUUAAGGUAUCUGUGACCAACAGAUGUAUGUCUGUAUUCCCUGGCAUGUGAAAUCCAUAAAUUGGGGUCUAUCAAUUGACUGAUUUUCUUAAAUGAACUGUAACUCUUUGAAAUUGUUGCAUGUUGUGUUUCUUUUUUGUUCAGUGUAUUUUGUUUAACAUUGGCUCAAACUUCAGAGGCUUAACAUAUUUCUAUGAGAAAAUAAAUUGAAAGGUGUACACAACACAGUUUGACGAUACUGAUGGACUCCACAUUAGACUAUCAUAAACAUAGGAGCCCCUGACAAUGAGCAUCCUGUUGCAGGCUUAUCUGGGGGACAACCUGCUGCCUAUCUUUCUACAUAGAAUGAUUGCAUGCAGAGCAUGAACAGUGUGUAGGCACGCAUCCCUGGUAGCACUUUUAUACUUUUUAUUUUUUCAAGCAAGUUCCCAUAGUUCAGAGAGAGAGAGAGCAUAACCUCAGAGUACCACUCAUUUCCCUCCUUCCUGAAACUGAGAAAUAAGGUUGUCACUAAAAGUUCACCAACUAUGCUGAUACUGAGCCAUUGAGAGGAUAAAAUUAAUUCUAAAAUGUCAAAUGAGGCAAGAAACAACUCAAAACCAGGGAGCGAUGAAAAGGUACAACAGACGGUUAUCGGUGUCGUGAUAGAGCAAGAGACAGAACAGACACAGUGCAGACCACUGCUUUGAAGAACGGUAGUGCUGAUUUCCCCGAUCAACAGGAUAACUAACACACACAGAGUGUAAUCUACGUGAGCAAGGCAAUAUGCUGAACAUAAUUAAUUACCGCAAGAUGUAAAUGAGCUUCUUCCCCAGUAGUCAGUGAAUGGCUGGGAUGGACGCGGCGCAGCGUGUAUGGUUGAAGCAGGGUGCCGGCCCGUGUAGCUAGAUUGGUUGCCACCAGACUCCCAGUAACGUGGAAGAUAUAGACAGUGCCGCCUCGCUUCUUGUUUGUCCACUGAUGGGAGUCUUGUUUAGCCCAGCUGCGUCUCCAUGGAAGUGGCACCUUGAGAGGCUCCACCACCCCCCCACCCCUCCCAAUCCCCCGUUUGCCCAUGCAGCUUCCCAGCACACCCUGGUGUGAGGCAGUGUUUGUCAAGAUACACCAGCCCCUGGCACAAAGCCCAGACGGCAUUUUUCCCCCGUGCAACUUUUAUCCAACGUAAAACAGAAGCCAACAAGGACAGGGCUCUUAGAAAGCAUCAUUAGGCACUAAGUGAACAGACAGCAAUUUGAGCCCCCCCUCCUAGUCUUUUUUUGUGGGGGGGUUCUUUUCUCAAGCUUUAUACCGACCAAAGGUGUCCGUUGAUUGAUAUUCAGCUCACGGAAGAAAAAGACGUCCGUGAACAAAAAAGGGAACAUAUCGGUGCUGAAUGGUUUUGAAAAGAAUGUCCUCUGCUGCUUUCUAUUUAUACAAUCUCUGCAGAUUGCCAGCAGCGUGAACCCAGAGUUGUCAAUAUUUUAUUAGCCUUUUGCUCAUACAAAAGAGGCCACCACAAUUGGUCCUGCUAAGGGCUGAAUUAAUAAAUCUCUUUCUUUGCUAACUUUUUAGGUAAGAUGGAGGGUGACUCAUGCACAAAUAUAUGCAAUAAUAAAAAACUAUUUUGAAUCCUUGUUGAGCGGUUCAGUUUUUUGGGAACUUCAGUAUAUGAAGAAGUAUCACAUUUU
rnacentral:lncRNA from 1 species